rnacentral:rRNA from 1 species
GACAAAGGAUGCAAGCGUUAUCCGGAUUCAUUGGGUUUAAAGGGUGCGUAGGCGGACUGAUAAGUCAGUGGUGAAAUCUCUUUGCUUAACAAAGAAACUGCCAUUGAUACUGUCGGUCUAGAGUAUAGAUGACGUUGGCGGAAUAUGACAUGUAGUGGUGAAAGAUCUUAGAUAUGUCAUAGAACACCGAUUGCGAAGGCAGCUAACGAAACUAUAACUGACGCUGAGGCACGAAAAGUGCGGGGGAUCAAACAGG